rnacentral:rRNA from 1 species
UACGGGGGGAGCAAGCGUUGUUCGGAUUUACUGGGCGUAAAGGGCGCGUAGGCGGCCAGCACAAGUCAGUUGUGAAAUCUCCGAGCUUAACUCGAAAAGGUCAACUGAUACUGUGCGGCUAGAGUGCGGAAGGGGCAACUGGAAUUCUUGGUGUAGCGGUGAAAUGCGUAGAUAUCAAGAGGAACACCUGCGGCGAAGGCGGGUUGCUGGGCCGACACUGACGCUGAAGCGCGAAAGCCAGGGGAGCAAACGGG